rfam:Dipodomys ordii contig_42964, whole genome shotgun sequence.
GAUGGCUCAGUGGUAGAGCACUUGCCUUGUGUGCAGGAGGCCCUGGGUUCGAUUUCUCAGCAUCA